rnacentral:rRNA from 1 species
UCAUUAAUGAUUGCGAAUGGUUACCUUCAGUGCUGGUUCGCAAGAGCAAGUGCACGUCGGUGGCUUUCAUCCAAUUUCCACACCCUGUGCACCUUUGGCCUCUUGCUAGCUUCGGCUGGCAGAGGAUUUUACAUAUACUCGAAUGUAAUGAAAACUAUUGUUGUGCGCAAGCACUAAUAUACAACUUUCAACAACGGAUCUCUUGGCUCUCGCAUCGAUGAAGAACGCAGCGAAAUGCGAUAAGUAAUGUGAAUUGCAGAAUUCAGUGAAUCAUCGAAUCUUUGAACGCACCUUGCACCCUUUGGAAUUCCAAAGGGUAUGCUCGUUUGAGUGUCAUUGUACUCUCACACUCUCUGAUCCUUUGGAUUUGGAGAGCGGUGGACUUGGGUGCUUGCUGCUUUCCUUGUGGCUCACCUCAAAUGCGUCAGUGCAUCUCUUGAUUGGACAUAGUACGGCGUGAUAAGUGUCUUCGCCGGCACCUCAUAAGAGGGUGGCCGAUCAGGAGCUCUGUGCUUUCA